rnacentral:rRNA from 1 species
CGCUGGCGGCGUGCCUAAUACAUGCAAGUCGAGCGGAAAUUUAUGGUGCUUGCACCUUAAAGUUUAGCGGCGGACGGGUGAGUAACACGUGGGUAACCUACCUUAUAGAUUGGGAUAACUCCGGGAAACCGGGGCUAAUACCGAAUAAUACUUUUUAACACAUGUUUGAAAGUUGAAAGACGGCAUCUCGCUGUCACUAUAAGAUGGACCCGCGGCGCAUUAGCUAGUUGGUGAGGUAACGGCUCACCAAGGCAACGAUGCGUAGCCGACCUGAGAGGGUGAUCGGCCACACUGGGACUGAGACACGGCCCAGACUCCUACGGGAGGCAGCAGUAGGGAAUCUUCCACAAUGGACGAAAGUCUGAUGGAGCAACGCCGCGUGAGUGAAGAAGGAUUUCGGUUCGUAAAACUCUGUUGCAAGGGAAGAACAAGUAGCGUAGUAACUGGCGCUACCUUGACGGUACCUUGUUAGAAAGCCACGGCUAACUACGUGCCAGCAGCCGC